rnacentral:rRNA from 1 species
GUAGUAGGUAAGCGAUGGGGUGACGCAGGAAGGUAGUCCAGCCCGGGCGGUGGUUGUCCCGGGGUAAGGGUGUAGGACGUCACGUAGGCAAAUCCGCGUGACACAUAGUCUGAGACCUGAUGCCGAGCCGAUUGUGGUGAAGUGGAUGAUCCUAUGCUGUCGAGAAAAGCCUCUAGCGAGUUUCAUGGCGGCCCGUACCCUAAACCGACUCAGGUGGUCAGGUAGAGAAUACCGAGGCGUUCGGGUGAACUAUGGUUAAGGAACUCGGCAAAAUGCCCCCGUAACUUCGGGAGAAGGGGGGCCACACCUGGUGAAGGAACUUGCUUCCUGAGCUGGGGGUGGCCGCAGAGACCAGCGAGAAGCGACUGUUUACUAAAAACACAGGUCCGUGCGAAGCCGUAAGGCGAUGUAUACGGACUGACGCCUGCCCGGUGCUGGAACGUUAAGGGGACCGGUUAGCUCCAUUUCGGUGGGGCGAAGCUGAGAACUUAAGCGCCAGUAAACGGCGGUGGUAACUAUAACCAUCCUAAGGUAGCGAAAUUCCUUGUCGGGUAAGUUCCGACCUGCACGAAUGGCGUAACGACUUCUCGACUGUCUCAACCAUAGGCCCGGUGAAAUUGCACUACGAGUAAAGAUGCUCGUUUCGCGCAGCAGGACGGAAAGACCCCGGGACCUUUACUACAGUUUGAUAUUGGUGUUCGGUUCGGCUUGUGUAGGAUAGGUGGGAGACUGUGAAGCCGUGACGCCAGUCAUGGUGGAGUCGUCGUUGAAAUACCACUCUGGUCGUGCUGGAUGUCUAACCUCGGUCCGUGAUCCGGAUCAGGGACAGUGUCUGAUGGGUAGUUUAACUGGGGCGGUUGCCUCCCAAAGGGUAACGGAGGCGCCCAAAGGUUCCCUCAGCCUGGUUGGCAAUCAGGUGUUGAGUGUAAGUGCACAAGGGAGCUUGACUGUGAGACCGACGGGUCGAGCAGGGACGAAAGUCGGGACUAGUGAUCCGGCGGUGGCUUGUGGAAGCGCCGUCGCUCAACGGAUAAAAGGUACCCCGGGGAUAACAGGCUGAUCUUCCCCAAGAGUCCAUAUCGACGGGAUGGUUUGGCACCUCGAUGUCGGCUCGUCGCAUCCUGGGGCUGGAGUCGGUCCCAAGGGUUGGGCUGUUCGCCCAUUAAAGCGGUACGCGAGCUGGGUUUAGAACGUCGUGAGACAGUUCGGUCCCUAUCCGCUGUGCGCGUAGGAAUAUUGAGAAGGGCUGUCCCUAGUACGAGAGGACCGGGACGGACGAACCUCUGGUGUGCCAGUUGUCCUGCCAAGGGCAUGGCUGGUUGGCUACGUUCGGGAGGGAUAACCGCUGAAAGCAUCUAAGCGGGAAGCCUGCUUCGAGAUGAGUAUUCCCACCCACUUGAUGGGGUAAGGCUCCCAGUAGACGACUGGGUUGAUAGGCCGGAUGUGGAAGCCCUGCAAAGGGUGGAGCUGACCGGUACUAAUAGGCCGAGGGCUUGUCCU